rnacentral:sRNA from 1 species
GCUCUGCAGCUGGUCUACAAGCAAGGUAAGUAGGUCCAUGCGAGCGGCCCGGAUGUACCUUUUAGCCGCGAGGGGAACCGGGUAAACAAAGUCGCGAUCAGACUGAAUGGUAGUUUGCUGGGCCUGUUGCUCCCGGAGGCGCUGGUUCGAAUCCAGUUCGUGACAAC